rnacentral:rRNA from 1 species
GACGAACGCUGGCGGCGUGCUUAACACAUGCAAGUCGAACGAAGAGCGAUGGAAGCUUGCUUCUAUCAAUCUUAGUGGCGAACGGGUGAGUAACGCGUAAUCAACCUGCCCUUCAGAGGGGGACAACAGUUGGAAACGACUGCUAAUACCGCAUACGAUCUAACCUCGGCAUCGAGGAUAGAUGAAAGGUGGCCUCUAUUUAUAAGCUAUCACUGAAGGAGGGGAUUGCGUCUGAUUAGCUAGUUGGAGGGGUAACGGCCCACCAAGGCGAUGAUCAGUAGCCGGUCUGAGAGGAUGAACGGCCACAUUGGGACUGAGACACGGCCCAGACUCCUACGGGAGGCAGCAGUGGGGAAUCUUCCGCAAUGGACGAAAGUCUGACGGAGCAACGCCGCGUGAGUGAUGACGGCCUUCGGGUUGU